rnacentral:rRNA from 1 species
AGAGUUUGAUCCUGGCUCAGAUUGAACGCUGGCGGAAUGCUUUACACAUGCAAGUCGAACGGCAGCACGGGAGCUUGCUCCUGGUGGCGAGUGGCGAACGGGUGAGUAACAUAUCGGAACAUAUCCUAUCGUGGGGGAUAACUAGUCGAAAGACUAGCUAAUACCGCAUACGUCCUGAGGGAGAAAGCGGGGGCUCGCAAGACCUCGCGCGAUUGGAGUGGCCGAUAUCUGAUUAGCUAGAUGGUGAGGUAAAAGCUCACCAUGGCGACGAUCAGUAGCUGGUCUGAGAGGAUGAUCAGCCACACUGGGACUGAGACACGGCCCAGACUCCUACGGGAGGCAGCAGUGGGGAAUUUUGGACAAUGGGCGAAAGCCUGAUCC